CCUACGGGUGGCUGCAGUGGGGGAUAUUGCACAAUGGGGGAAACCCUGAUGCAGCGACGCCGCGUGUGGGAAGACGGUCUUCUGGAUUGUAAACCACUGUCCCCAGGGACGAAAAUGACGGUACCUGGGGAGGAAGCUCCGGCUAACUACGUGCCAGCAGCCGCGGUAAUACGUAGGGCGCAAGCGUUGUCCGGAAUAACUGGGUGUAAAGGGAGCGUAGGCGGGGAUGAAAGUGGGGGGUCAAAACUACCGGCUCAACCGAUAGUCGCACUCAAAACUGCAACUCUUGAGUGAAGUAGAGGCAGGCGGAAUUCCUAGUGUAGCGGUGAAAUGCGUAGAUAUUAGGAGGAACACCAGUGGCGAAGGCGGCCUGCUGGGCUUUUAUUGACGCUGAGGCUCGAAAGUGUGGGGAGCAAACAGGAUUAGAUACCCCUGUAGUC
rnacentral:rRNA from 1 species